rnacentral:pre_miRNA from 1 species
UAACUACUCCCUCCGUCCGAAAAAGCUUGUCCCUCAAAUGAAUGUAUCUAGCACCAAGUUAGUGCUAGAUACAUCCAUUUGAGGAACAAGCUUGGGACAAGCUUUUUCGGACGGAGGGAGUACAAG